CGCCCCGUGCCCCUCCCCGCCUGCCUUCUUAGCGGUCCCCAGUUCCCGCAGGGGCUCGGCUGGGACGUUCUCCGCGUUCUGUCGCCAUCCCACAGACCCAGCCUGAGCAGAAGUGGCCGCCAGGGCUGAGCUGUGACCCCAGGCCCCGAGGGACAGGAACAGUCUGUACUGGGCUGAGGUUCCCAGGCUCGGCCAGCCUCCUCUGGGGUGACAAGGGGUGAGCUCCAGCCCUGGCCUAGGCCGGCCCAGGAGCCUCAGGGUCCUUCUCUGAACCCAAACCACCCCUCUGUGAUGGGGCCUUCUGCUCAGGCGGCACCAGCUCCCCCUGUGGACCUCUCCCUACCCUCUGCCUCCACGCUCCCUGUCAGACCUUCCUGGAGGGAAACUCCCUCCCCAGGCAGCCUCAUCCACCAGCGGGAGCCCGGAGACAGAUAGGGGUCCCAGGCAGGGCCUCCAUGCGCCCCAGGGAGAAAGAAGGCUUGGACUCCUGCCAGCUUGGGGCAAGUGGGUGGCUCCUGGCACCUCACUCUCGGGGGAGAAGCCUGCAGGAAUGAGAGGAAUGAGGAAGGAGGCUGAGACAGGCAGAUACAGGCAGGGCACAGACUCAGUGAAACAGCCAGGCUUGGGGUGAGGGACCUUAGAAAUAUGUAGGAUUUUUUUUGGCCGGGUACUGGGGAUCAAACUCAGGAUCUUGUGCUUUUGAGGCAGGUGGUGGAACCACUGAGCUAAAUCCCCGGCCCCUGAGACCUUAGGAAUAGAACAGAAAGGUCAGAGGGCCAAAGCAAAGCCACAGGGGUAGAAAGCAGAGCCAGUGCAGGCCUAGGAGCCAGACAGACCUGGUCCAAAAAUCCCUGUCCUGCCGAUGUUGGCCGUGGCCCAGGGAAAACGACCAACCUUUCUGGGGUAUUUCUCUAUCUAUAAAAUGGGUGCAUAUGAGGCCCCAACUGAUGGAUUGCCAGAGGACUGAAAGAAAGCAUCAAGCCCACAGGACCCAGUGAGGUGGGCGGCAGUCAGUGUAAGAGCCCUGCACAGUGCCAGACAGACUGGAGAGGAACAGCCCCGACACCGCCUCUGACCCCCCACCCGCUGCACAGGGCAGCGCAGGGCUGGCGCCUUUGUGUAGAAGCAGAGCGGGGUGGCAGGUGAGGAGGUGUGCCCAGCUGGAGCGCCACACCCCACCGGCCAGGCGGCUCAGAGUGAGCCGUGCACUCACGCCCAAGGAACUUGGAGGCCUGCCUCGUGGAAUUCCUGCGGAGGUCCGGAAGGCAGGUCUGGAGCUGGCUUUGGCUUUGUGACUUUGGGAAUUCUUUCUGAAUUCCACCUUCCAUCGCCCGCCCCUGCCCACCAGCCCAGGGAGGAGUCCCAGGGAGGAGGCCCAGUCCCGCUCCUGCUCCUGGUGAGCUGAGGGCCACAGCUUCUCUUCACGCCCCAGGAGCCCCAGGGGUGUCCGUCCAGCCCUUCCCAGCUUGAGCUGAGCCCUGUGUGUUGGUGCCCUCGGUGCUGGGGAAGUGGGAGAGUCCUGCCCCGGGAGCCCAGGCCAGUGGGCAGACACCUUAACGGAAGGCAGGUUGGGCUGCAGCCCUCUCCUGGCACUUGCGAAACCCUGGGCUUGAUCCCCAGCAUUGCUAAACAAUCAGAAAACCCCUCUGGCUCCUGGGAUGAGCAUGGGGAAAACAGAAGCCCUUGGAGGAGCCUUUGAGCACAGUGGGGUUGGAGUGGCUGCAGCUGCAGGCUGUGCACCCGCUGAGCUGGACUGGCUGCACUCAACCCCCCAGGGACCCUGCUGGCCAGGCCGGGUUGGCAGGGUGUGGGCCUUUGGGGGCUGCAGCUGGGCAAAUGCCCUUGAGACAGGCCUUGAGGUCAGGGAGGAACGGGGGC
ensembl:lncRNA